CUGUCGGAACCCCGUCUGGGAUUCCCUCCGUUCAUAACUCCUGCGCGGAGGGUUGAGCUCUCGGCGUCGUCCCGAAGGGCCUUUUUGUUCUUCCGAGGUAAACGGCUAAAAAAAAAAAAAAAAAAAUGAAGAAGAAACCUCUUCUCUGGUGGCUGAGGAGGAGACGGGACGGGACGUGAUGAAUUACGUCCACGGGGAUACAUCCCGGCCUCGGUGGAAACGGCCGCCGCGGGGACCGGUCGAUAUUUGGGCCGGGCCCCGAGGGGGGCGGUGGAUCUGGCUUUCGGCCACGCCUGGCCUGACUGUUGCAUCUUCCCCUCCCCUGCCCCCAAAAUACCAUCUGGUGAAUUAGGAGGUGGCGAGGCUAGGACACCGGGCUUGCUGCGGAUGGCCUCUUCAGCUCUCUGUUAGGAAGUGCUUGGGAAAAUUGGUUCUUGCGUGGAAAGCCUAGGCUAUCAUCAAGACGAUUGCAGUUUGGAACCCAGAUGGAAGACGAUCCACCUAAAGUCGACUACAGGCGGAAAGAUCUGCCCGCCUGGUUUCAACGCAGGAAACGCAGAAGGCCCGUUGGCCCGGAGUUUGGGGCGGUGGCUGCCGGAAAGGCUAAGGAAACCCAAACGGCCGUGGCCGCCCCUUGCCGAUAUCACCGAUCGACGGGCGCUUCGGUCUGGAAAGAUGCAGGCGCGGAAGGGACGUAGUCGAAAUCUACAACGUCGUGAAGGUGCGGGCAGAGCGGACGUGAAAUUUUGUUUUGCGGAUCCCGUCGGCCCCUGAAACUUGACGGUGGGAUGUUAAAAGAAAAUAAAUAAUUCUUCACCCAGCAGUUCUGUUACUAAGGGAAGUUGUGCGGGCUCAAAAUAACAGUAAGUUAAAGAAAGCGUGAAUGGGAGAGGGGCCCGUAACGGUGGCUAGAGGGAAAGUUAGGAUAUAAAAGGAAGAGUUAGUGUUGGGUAGCCCAUCCCUAACCUUGAGGAUGAUGGAUGUCUAGGAGGGCGACCGUUUCAAGAGUUCCGUUGCCUUGGAGACUGAAUCCUGAUGCCCCAUUGAUCUACCCCAGUGUGGCACUUUGGCUGCUCAGAAGUGGAAAUAGAAUUUGUCCAGCCGGAUCCUGAAAAAGCAGGCCAAGUUCCCUGCCGGCCUCCUCUCCUCUCGGCGUUAGGACAAAGGGGAUCUCUCUCCAGGAGCCCUGAGAGAGCCACGAAGAGAGUAGAAUAAAUUUGCUCGUUGGAGCCAUU